GCCCAAAAGAUUAGACUACUCUUUUUUCAUCUUUCCACUGAGGAUAUACAUGCAGGACAAAUUGUUAAGGAAUUCUUCGUUUAUGAUGGGAC
rnacentral:snoRNA from 1 species